rnacentral:rRNA from 1 species
UACAGAGGGGGCUAGCGUUGUUCGGAAUUACUGGGCGUAAAGCGCACGCAGGUGGCUGAGUCAGUCGAUUGUGAAAGCCCUGGGCUUAACCUGGGAAUUGCAGUCGAUACUACUCAGCUAGAGUAUGGGAGAGGGUAGUGGAAUUCCCGGUGUAGCGGUGAAAUGCGUAGAUAUCGGGAGGAACAUCAGUGGCGAAGGCGGCUACCUGGCCCAAUACUGACACUCAGGUGCGACAGCGUGGGGAGCAAACAGG